CAGUGACAGAACAGCAGGCCCAGAAGCACCAGUGCAGACCCCGGCGCUUGACGGAGGAAAACACCGACACUGCAAACCAACGGGUCGGCUAGAACAUCCACAUGCAUUGGAAAACUGAGACUUUACUCCUACCUCAAACCGAAAUAUCCAUUCCAGGUGGAUUAUUUACCUAGAUGUGAAAGGUCAAACAAUAAGGCUUUCAGAAGAUAAUGUAGGAGAAUAUCUUCAUGACCUUAAACUUACAGCAAGAAAAGAUUUUUUAAACAACAUAUGAAAAGCACUAAACAGAAAGUAAACGGCGCUGCCUGAAUUCUGAGAACGGCCUCGGCAUGCUCCACAAAGGGUCUUCAGCUGCUUCUCAGGCUCUUCCAGUCCACGGGGCACAUAGAGCUGUCCCUGUGGGCCAGGAAUCUUCCAGAAACAGUGCUGCAGCUGCCAUUGAUGCAGAUUCUUUGAAGGCCUCGAUCUCAUCAUUCUCUGCGGUGAAGGCUGUCUUUGCAGCUUCAGGGACAGAAGUAACUAUUUCAGAUCUUUAAGGGAAAAAUCUUGAAGCCACAUGGAAAGAGAAUUUGGGAAAGGGAAGCCUAAUUUUCCUAGAUCCAGGAAUCCUGUGUUCUAUGCUGCUUCUGCUGCUAGCUUAGAAAAUGUCAGUGUUUCUGGGCUUCAUAUUCAUCCCCAAAUGGGGGAUAAUAAUGUCAAUUUAUACUUGACUAUUUAAAGGACAAAUCCAGUAUUACAGCUCUGUAAAUUCUUCGUAGGGAGAAAUUCAAUGCAAAUCCAGGAUGCCAUGAUUAAAACGUGCUCUAUCUUCCAUAUAUUUCUAGACACAAAGUUUGUUUACAUAAUCCUUCCACCACCCAGUACAGUUUAUGCCUGCAUCCUUUUACUUAAAUUGAUUGCUCUAAGGAACCCCAGAUACCUGUAGUAACAGAACCAUUGCAGCUCAAUCAUAAUUUUUUGGAGAAGGAGAAUUUAGAGACAGCAUCUUUCUCAAAUGGGCUAAGUUUGAAGUCCAAUGAAUGAAGUUUGACAAAAAUCUACUAAAUUAAGUCAGGAUUAUUCAGUGUUGUAUUGGAAGUCAUUAUCAAUAUGAGAAAGUAAGAAAAAGAAAGAUAAAAUGUUUGGAAUUUCAGAUGGUGUAGUUUUAUCUAUAAAAAUCCAAACUAAUCUCUAACUAAGUUAUUAACAUUGAUAAAUGAGCUUUACAAGGUUGGUGGAUAUGAAGUCAAUAUUGGCAAAAAAUAACUGUAUUCCUAACACCAGCAGCAAACAGUAAUUUGAAAAACAGUAUCUUCACAAAAGCAUUAAAACAUAAAUAUUUAGGAAUAAAUCUCACAAAUGAUGUCUAAGACCUUUAGCCAGAAAACUAUAUCUUCGCUGAAAUAAAUAAAUGAGGGAAUAUUUGUCUGAAGGAAAUGAAAUCCCUAUUUCAAAAAGAUAUCUGCAGCCCAUGUUCAUUGCAGCAUCAUUUACAAUAAUCAAGACAGGGAAAGGACCUACGAGUCUGUUGACAGAUGAGUGGAUACAAAAGUUGUGGUACAUAUAUGCAAUGGAAUAUUAUCCAGCCAUAAAAAGGAGGAAAUCCUUUCAUUUGUGACAUGGAUGAAACUUGAGGGCAUUCUGCUAAGUGAGAUAAGUGAGACAGAGAAAGACAAAUACUGUGUGAUCUCACUUAUAUGUGGAAUCUCAAGAAACCAAACUCAUAGCAAUGGAGAGAAGAUUGUUGGUUUCCAGGGCAGGAGGCGGGAGAUGGGUGAAGGCGGUCGAAGGGCACAGCGAUAAGAUGAACAAGUUCUGGGGCGGCAUGUCCAGCACGGUGACUGCAGUGGACAAGACGGUGUUGCAUAUUUGAAGUUGCUGAGAGAGUAGACGUUAAAUGUUCUCACCACACACACGAAAGGGUCACUGUGAGGUGACGGAGGUGUUAACUAACCUUAUUUCGGUCAUCUUUUUGCAAUAUAUACAUAUAUCAAAACAUCACCUCGUACACCUUAAACAAUGUUAUAUGUUAAUUACAUUGCAAUAAAACUGGAAAAGGAAGAUUUGUCCCUCAAAAAUCUGAACUAGUUACUUCUGAACCUGCAAAGUCAGCCUUCACCACAGAGAAUGCUGAGACCCGGAGGUCCUCCAGGAGUCUGCAUCCAGAGCGGCCGCCGGGCUGCUUCCCAGCAGAGUCCUCGCCCACGAGGACGGCUCUGGGUGUGCCCAGGGGGUUGGAGGAGGCUGAGAAGCAGCUGAGGUCCUGUGCAGACACAGCCGGGGCGUCUGAGGAUUCGUGGCUGUGUCGUUAGUUGCUAGAUGUGUUUGAACCCCGUCUAUCACACUCACAGCUUGCUGUAAGCAUUUCCUCCAGAAGGUUCUUCUCCACUGCCGACUGGUUCCAAGCACACUUGGCAUCUGUGUGAUGCUAUUGCUGCUGAAUUCCUCUGCUUGUUUUGUCAGGCUGCUUCGAGGCUGCUGUAAAAUGUGUCCGACAUCCUUGCUUGAGGUACGUGAUACUCAGGGUCGGUUGUGAACUUUGAAAAUGUUUGGUAUCUGUAAGUCUUGAGCAGAUGGACGGCAGGGAUUAAAUUGGCAGUUCCAAAUGUGAAUUUUGAGCCAAAUUCUAAUUGUAAAAUUUGAUAUUUUGCUGUCUUUUUUGAAACUUCCUUUCUCCUGGUAAUAUUUUCAUUUUACUCAAAGCAAAGUAGUGCUGUGGUGAGGCCUUCCCAGCAGCAUCAAACGUGGGCUAUGAAACCACGGAGGCCAGGGCUGCUGUUAACAGUCUGGGCGGGAGGUCUGGCUCUAAAUAGCCAACAAAGUCUGUUACUCUCACUUAACGGUUUCAUACAUCAGCAUAAACCAAGAGCCAAGAUGAUUUGGGUUUCUAUUUUCAGUGUAUAAUUUGGUUCCUUGAGAUGAUAUUGAACUAUUUCUGUAAAAAACAUCUAGACAUCAAAUCAAUACAACUUUUCUGUGGUGUUUGUUGUUGUUGCUGAAAAGAAAAAGUCGUACGUUGAAAUUUUCAAAAAUGUAAUUCUCUGCCAACAGCCAAGUAACAAUAUUGAGCAAUUUUCCCCGACCUCACGUGUUUCUCAGUGUGAUGUUUCAGGAUGUGGCACCACGUGACGCGGAAUGCUUCCCCUGGGUUUACACCAGGUGCUAGUUUCUAGGGAGCCCGUUGGGAUGGUGUUGCACUGGCCAACUUGCAGCAGAGACCAGAAGACAACCAAGGAGAGAAAUUGGAAGUAUACAAGCUAAUUCCGAGAUCAGAGAUAGAGGGAGGGUGGCAAGUUUGAAGACAGCGGAGUAUUUGUCUAGUUUUCCAAGGCAGGAAGGUGGAAAUAGGGCGGUCAGUGAAGAGGAUUGCCAACCACAUAGUAAAAAGUAACCUUUAAGACGUUUACCUCCUUCUCCCACUGACAUCAAGAACCUGGGUGUUUGUUUGGGAGACGGAAAAGUUAUGGUCCCGAGAACAGCAUGGAACAAAGCAGAACACGGAGCAGCCUUGAGGUCCCAGCAGGACGUGUGACCAGCUGCCUCUGGAGCAGGAUGCGGCCACUCGGGGCGUCACCUCAGCAGUGAGGGCAGGAAAGCAAGACAUGUGAUCCCACACGAAUUUCACUUCUAGGAUGCACAUUUCAACAACGAGAACAUAUAUAUGCAUGAAGUUGUCCGCUGCAGCACUGUUUGAAAUUGCAAAAUAUUGGAAAGAAUCCGACUACCAUACUUAGGAGUGCUAUUCAAUGGACUAUGGUAUACCCAUACAGUGGCAUACUAUGCAACUAUGAAAAAGAAUGACGAGCAUCCCUAUUGAAUGGCUUCAAGUGAUUUCCAGAAAUUUUAAGUAAAGAAAUGUCCAGUGCAGGAGUAUCUAUAUUACUACCUUUGUUUAAGAAAGGCUAAGAAAUAAAAAUGUACAUGCAUCUGUUCAUUUAGCGAAAAGAAACAUAGGAAGCAUAAUCAAGAAACUAGCCAGCUCGUUUACCUGCAAGGUGUAAGCGAGAAGGAGAUAGGGGAUGGAGGAAAGAAUGGGGUAGAAGGGUGGGACAGUGACACUUCUCUGAAUGUAGCUUUGUGCGUAAAUUGAUUUUUGGAAUCACAUUAUGCUUUACAAAUUCAAAAAAAAAACCUGAGUAAAAAAAUGAGAAAAGGAGAGACCCACAAAUAUAGAGUACAAUCAGAACAAGUCCGUCUAAUCUAUUUCAGAUCAGUGACAUCACUGCACUAAGGGGAGAGGGAGCUGACCCAGGUGACCUUUGGAAACAGUGACUUGAUUACGUAACUCCAAGCCAACGAUAAAAAAUAACUGUAGCCCAGCAUUGAAUUCUCAUUAAUUACUAGGUUUGUUUUUCACCGUGUUACAAGUUAACAAUUUUGAAAUUACUUGAUGUGUAUUGUAAGAUUGAGCAAAUAGAUAUAUUGUGCAUAAUGCGAGUGAGGUUUCUCAUUGUCAGAGGGAAGGCGGAAGGCGGGGAUAAACCCUUUUGUGUUGAACCAGCAUUUGAGUUAUCAGAAUGAACUCUUGGCUUUUAGUAUGCGUGGGUAGUUGUAUCUAUUACAGGUAGACAGAUGCACUUGGGCAUAGACAUGUGUGUGCGCUUUCCACCCUCUGCUGAAAAGACCUGGGCACGAUGACAGUCCUGUAGCCAUGAGAUUACUUAAUGCCCACAUCUUGGUUUCUAAAUACCAUGAGCACUGAAAGGAGGCACUCCUUGGAGAAACGGCCGGGCUCAGAGUGGGGCUGAUAAAACACAAGAUGAGCCUGGAGCGUCUUAUUGUGCAGCAAAGCAAGAAUAAGGUAACAAUAAAAAAAUAAUGGCAACGUGUCAAGAGGACAAAGGAGCCUGUUUCAAGGAGCUCCUGCUGGCUAAUAUGGGACAAGCUGAGCAAAAAGUGAUGAUUAUAAAAAAUUGCCAUUUAAUGAGAGGAAUCUAUGAGUUCAUACAAAUAUAAAAAACAAAAACGUCAUUUGGGGAAAAGGAAAAGCUCUUCCAUGUGCUAGAAUGCCAACUAAUAAACAUAAAAGUAAUGACAGAAUUAGAAAAUCAUCGUUUGCCAGAUAUCAUGCUAAUAAUUGAUUUGAUCAAGAAUCGUCACUGCAUGCUAAACUGGUGAGGGGAAAUUUGACGAUAAACAGGAUAUUUACAUGUUCACAAAAUAUCUCUUUAUAAUUUAAGACAUCAUUACAAAUGGAAAAAUGCAAUUACAGCAGAGAAACUUGGGAGACCCCCCCUUAACCGGAUGAUCAACACUGACAUGACCUGAAAUGGGAGAGAGACAGAGAUGGUGAAUCUCCUGACAGGAGGUAUCGAGAAGGACCUAAUAUCAUUUCUCUGGUACUCUCGCCAAAAACGUGUAAUCUAAAUGUGAUCGUAAGAAAAUAUUAGACAAGCUCUAAUUAAAGGCUAGUCUGCAAAAUACUUGUCCUUCUUUCUCCAAACGUGUCAAUGUCUUGAGAGACACAGGGAGACUGAGAAACUGUUCCAGGCUGAAGGAGAGUGAAGGGACACGGAAGUUUGUGCUCCUGGGUUGGGUCUUGGACCACAAAAUUAUUUCUUAUCUUGCUAAUAAAUGCAUUCAUGCAAACUGAAUAAAGUCUGUCCAUUAGAUAAUAGUACCGUGUCAAUAAUAAUUUCCUGAUUUUGGAGUUUUGUAUUGAGGUUAAGAAAUAUUCUUAUUUAUAGGAAAAGAGGCACUGUGUGUAAAAUUUACUCUCAUAAAAGACAGAAAGAUAAAAGACAGAAAAAUAUAAAUCAGUGAAAUUAUAUGGCAAUUUUUCCAGAUAACUUACGUAAGUUUUCUGUAAGUACGAAAACAUUUAUUUAAAAAAUGUUAAAAAAAAUUUUUUUAAUCAGUUGGAAUGUUCUCAGCUGCAAAUUGGCAGAUACCUUGACUGAAGUAGUGCAAACAAUAAAGAGUUUUCAUCUCAGAGACCAAGAAUCCCAGAUGAAGAGUAGGUCCAGAGUCGGACAAGCUUGUAGCAUAUUGAUGUCAUCCAGGAACCAGCUCCUUCCACCUUUCUGUUCUGUCAGCAACAUCCCCGUGUUCACAGUUUUGUGUAACAGUUCCAGGCAUGAUCAGCUCCCACAGAUCUAGACGAUUCCACAAUGUCCCUGAAAGAUUCGGUUACAUCUCAUUGGUGAGGAUGUGUCGCACAUCCAUGUUGAAACCAAUCACUUCCAAGGAGAAGGGAAUUACCACCAUCGGCUUAGACCAAAACUGAAGCCAAAGGCCGGGAGGUGGGCCCAUGACUUCCUAAUGUCCUCUUCCCGUUAGCUACAGAGAAGUGGGGUGGUGGGUGGAUAGGGUCAGACAGAUCUCUUUGAAGACCCCUUAACUAAUCUAUAAAGUGUAAUAUUCAUCGUUGUGUUUGCCCUGUUCCACCUUUCAGCCUAAUUCAGCUUGUUUUGUCUUUUCUUAGCAUUGAAAUAAAUCAAUUACACACA
ensembl:lncRNA